GCCGAUCAGUUUCUCUGAAGUGAAUUGAUGGUAAAUGCAAGACGUGUGUGUGGGAAUAUUGGAAAAAUUGCCUUCAACUCCUUAGUUCUUGUUCAUCUCAUCUAACCCUAAGAUAACAAACGACUUUGUGGAAAUUACACCCAACCAUAUCUUUCAUUAUCCAAUUUUAGAAAUCAGAUCUGAAGUUUGUUUAUACAAAAAUCAAAUAUUAAAUCAAUAUUGAUAAUAAAAUUAAUUCCCAAUGACCCUAUGUUCCUUGACGGUCCCAUCUAACUCCCUACAUCUCUCUACCUCUUGUCAGCAUGACAACUGCAAGCAAGCGAGGGACUAGUUGCUUUGUUGCGGUGCCUGGUUGCUAUGAACUCACAAUGAGAGGGCUUCUAACUCCUUAUUUGUGAGUGGCGCUGAGCGGGAUUUUUGUGGCUUUCGGUGAGGGGCGCGUCUACGGCAACAUUCUGGCUUUGGAUUUG
rnacentral:lncRNA from 1 species